UAAUGUAUGGGGAUCUGCCUGAUGGAGGGGGAUAACUACUGGAAACGGUAGCUAAUACCGCAUAACGUCGCAAGACCAAAGAGGGGGACCUUAGGGCCUCUUGCCAUCGGAUGUGCCCAGAUGGGAUUAGCUAGUAGGUGGGGUAAUGGCUCACCUAGGCGACGAUCCCUAGCUGGUCUGAGAGGAUGACCAGCCACACUGGAACUGAGACACGGUCCAG
rnacentral:rRNA from 1 species